rnacentral:rRNA from 1 species
ACGUAGGCAGCGAGCGUUGUUCGGAGUUACUGGGCGUAAAGAGUGCGUAGGCGGUGUUCCAAGUCUGUUGUGAAAUCUCCCGGCUCAACUGGGAGGGUGCGGCGGAAACUGGGACGCUGGAGUACGGGAGGGGUAAGCGGAAUUCCUGGUGUAGCGGUGAAAUGCGUAGAUAUCAGGAGGAACACCUGCGGUGUAGACGGCUUACUGGACCGUAACUGACGCUGAGGCACGAAAGCGUGGGUAGCAAACAGGA